UACGUAGGGUGCGAGCGUUGUCCGGAAUACUGGGCGUAAAGCGUGCGCAGGCGGUUUUGUAAGUCUGUCGUGAAAGCCCCCGGGCUCAACCUGGGAAUUGCGAUGGAGACUGCAAGGCUUGAAUCUGGCAGAGGGGGGUAGAAUUCCACGUGUAGCAGUGAAAUGCGUAGAGAUGUGGAGGAACACCGAUGGCGAAGGCAGCCCCCCUGGGUCAAGAUUGACGCUCAUGCACGAAAGCGUGGGGAGCAAACAGG
rnacentral:rRNA from 1 species